rnacentral:tRNA from 1 species
AUUUAUAUAGUUUACAAAAAACAUUUCAAUUUCAAUGAAAAAAAGAAAUAUUAUAUUUCUAUAAAUA